UUUCCCUCAGGAUAGCUGGAGCCCAUUACGAGUUCUAUCAGGUAAAGCCAAUGAUUAGAGGCAUUGGGGACGCAACGUCCUCGACCUAUUCUCAAACUUUAAAUAGGUAGGAUGGCUCGGCUGCUUCGGUGAGCCGUGCCACGGAAUCGGGUGCUCCAAGUGGGCCAUUUUUGGUAAGCAGAACUGGCGAUGCGGGAUGAACUG
rnacentral:rRNA from 16 species